rnacentral:sRNA from 1 species
UGUUUGUCUAAGGCAGGCAGACUUUAGAACAGAGAAGUACUAGAAAACGGAUUCCCUGUGGCUCAGGGAAUAAAGUGGGACACAAGAAAAAAGAAAACCGCACCGCACCCAGACUCUUGGCGGGACGCCCCGCCCCUCAACAGUGGCCGCCUCCUCGCGCCCCUCCUUCGCCAUCUGCCGGCCGCGUCCCCUCCCGCCAGCCCCCGUCCCCCGUCCCCCGCCCCCCGUCCCCUUUUCAGAGACCUGAGCUCCGCCUCCCUGGACGCGAGGCAGGCUGGGAAGUCGGCCGCCGUAAAGAUGGCGGCAAAUUGAAAAAGUUGGAGCUGCUCCCGCGCGCGCUCCCGCGCGCGCUGAGUGGGCGAAGCGAACAGGGGGCUGGACAGCCUGGAAUUGUCUCGCCAUUUAAACGAGUAUUCCUAAAAGGUGAAAAGAGUAGAGAUAAGAAAGCCCAUGAGAAGGUGACAGAGAGGCGCCCUCUGCACACUGUGGUGUUGUCAUUGCCUGAGCGCGUCGAGCCAGACAGACUGCUGAGCGACUAUAUUGAGAAGGAGGUAAAGUAUUUAGGUCAGUUAACGUCCAUACCAGGAUACCUGAAUCCCUCCAGUAGGACUGAAAUCCUGCAUUUCAUAGACAAUGCAAAGAGAGCCCACCAGCUUCCGGGACACUUGACUCAGGAGCACGAUGCUGUGCUCAGCCUGUCUGCGUACAACGUCAAGCUGGCCUGGAGGGACGGGGAGGAUAUCAUCCUCAGGGUGCCCAUCCAUGACAUCGCCGCCGUCUCCUAUGUUCGGGAUGACGCUGCACACCUGGUGGUCCUGAAGACAGCCCAGGACCCAGGGAUCUCCCCCAGCCAGAGUCUGUGUGCGGAAAGUUCCAGAGGCCUCAGUGCAGGCUCCCUGUCGGAGAGUGCAGUUGGGCCCGUGGAGGCAUGCUGCCUGGUCAUCCUGGCUGCAGAGAGCAAGGUCGCUGCGGAGGAGCUUUGCUGUCUGCUAGGCCAGGUCUUCCAGGUUGUUUACACGGAGUCCACCAUCGACUUUCUGGACAGAGCGAUAUUUGAUGGGGCCUCUACCCCCACCCACCACCUGUCCCUGCACAGCGAUGACUCUUCUACAAAAGUGGACAUUAAGGAGACCUACGAGGUGGAAGCCAGCACUUUCUGCUUCCCUGAAUCUGUGGAUGUGGGUGGUGCGUCACCCCAUGGCAAGACCAUCAGUGAGAGCGAGCUGAGCGCCAGCGCCACUGAGCUGCUGCAGGACUACAUGCUGACGCUGCGCACCAAGCUGUCAUCACAGGAGAUCCAGCAGUUUGCAGCGCUGCUGCACGAGUACCGCAAUGGGGCCUCUAUCCACGAGUUCUGCAUCAACCUGCGGCAGCUCUACGGGGACAGCCGCAAGUUCCUGCUGCUUGGUCUGAGGCCCUUCAUCCCUGAGAAGGACAGCCAGCACUUCGAGAACUUCCUGGAGACCAUUGGCGUGAAGGAUGGCCGCGGCAUCAUCACCGACAGCUUUGGCAGGCACCGGCGGGCCCUGAGCACCACAUCCAGUUCCACCACCAAUGGGAACAGGGCCACGGGCAGCUCUGAUGACCGGUCGGCACCCUCAGAGGGGGAUGAGUGGGACCGCAUGAUCUCGGACAUCAGCAGCGACAUUGAGGCGCUGGGCUGCAGCAUGGACCAGGACUCAGCAUGAUGGACAGUGGAUGGGGGGCACCCACACCUUCCGCGCAGUCGUCGUAGGCCUUCCCAGAAGGAGCUGCCCAGACCUGCGUGUCAGCCCUUGGUGGUGGCCAGGGAGAGGCUCCUGGCGCAGAUGGCCCCGGGCGGCCCAGGUCCUCUACUGUGAAGGAGCAGGGAGCUGCCGAGGGACACGAGCCUCAUUGCGGGGUGGAAGGCUCUUUGCCUUGUCCACCAGGGCUCAGCCAAGCCCUGCAGCGUGUCCCCGCUCGGGGAGGGCCCGGCCGAGCGGGCAGGGAGAGCCAGUCCU